rnacentral:rRNA from 1 species
GAAAGAUUCAUCGGAAGAGGAUGGGCAUGCGGCGCAUUAGCUAGACGGCGGGGUAACGGCCCACCGUGGCGACGAUGCGUAGGGGUUCUGAGAGGAAGGUCCCCCACACUGGUACUGAGACACGGACCAGACUCCUACGGGAGGCAGCAGUGAGGAAUAUUGGUCAAUGGGAGAGAUCCUGAACCAGCCAAGCCGCGUGAGGGAAGACGGCCCUAUGGGUUGUAAACCUCUUUUGUCGGAGAACAAAACCCGGGACGAGUCCCGGACUGCGUGUAUCCGAAGAAAAAGCAUCGGCUAACUCCGUGCCAGCAGCCGCGGUAAUACGGAGAAUGCGAGCGUUAUCCGGAUUUAUUGGGUUUAAAGGGUGCGUAGGCGGUCCGUUAAGUCAGCGGUAAAAUUGCGGGGCUCAACCCCGUCGAGCCGUUGAAACUGGCAGACUUGAGUUGGCGAGAAGUACGCGGAAUGCGCGGUGUAGCGGUGAAAUGCAUAGAUAUCGCGCAGAACUCCGAUUGCGAAGGCAGCGUACCGGCGCCACACUGACGCUGAGGCACGAAAGCGUGGGGAUCGAACAGGAUUAGAUACCCUGGUAGUCCACGCAGUAAACGAUGAAUGCUGGUUGUCCGGGUCGAAUGAGACCUGG